rnacentral:rRNA from 1 species
UACGUAGGGGGCAAGCGUUGUCCGGAAUUACUGGGCGUAAAGCGUGCGUAGACGGUUAUGUAAGUCGGGUGUGAAAGCCCCGGGCUCAACCUGGGAAUUGCAUUCGAGACUGUGUAGCUAGGGUACGGAAGAGGGAAGCGGAAUUCCCGGUGUAGUGGUGAAAUGCGUAGAUAUCGGGAGGAACACCAGUGGCGAAGGCGACUUCCUGGCCUGUUCUUGACGCUGAGGCGCGAAAGCUAGGGGAGCAAACGGG